rnacentral:lncRNA from 1 species
UCUGAUGAUCAAGCACAGGUGUCCAAGAAAGUGAAACUGCCCCCAGAGCGCCCCGUCAAUGAAGAGAACUAAUUAAAUGCCCAAUGUCUCAGCCAUAGAGGCCAUACAUCAAAAAUAUAUUGGACCCACAAUAUCAAGCAAUUUAUAUCAUUCAACCAGUCAAACUUUUAUAACAGUAGGAAAACAUACUAAAAAUAUGAUAGCUCUGGCUUGCCCUGAGUUGGUUUCUUGUGUGGCUCUAAUUUUCAUUCUGGAAUGUUGUGCAGCUGGCUCUGGCACACAGAAUCCUUUGUUUCCCAGCAGGAAGCUACUACACCAUUGUAACUGAACACACUGUGAUGUUCUGGUCACAACUUAUGUUUACCCAAAGCUCAAGGUUACUGAAAGAACAUUCUAGAACUCAAAAGAGAAUCUAAACUUUGUCUUACUAGAUUUGAAAUGUAAAUGUUAUUAAGCUGCACAUCUUACAUAGAUUCACAAG